rnacentral:rRNA from 1 species
CAGCCGCCGCGGUAAUACAGAGGGUGCAAGCGUUAAUCGGAUUUACUGGGCGUAAAGGGCGCGUAGGUGGUUAUUUAAGUGAGAUGUGAAAGCCCCGGGCUUAACCUGGGAACUGCAUCUUAUACUGGGUAACUGGAGUGCAGUAGAGGGUAGUGGAAUUUCCGGUGUAGCGGUGAAAUGCGUAGAUAUCGGAAGGAACACCAGUGGCGAAGGCGGCUACCUGGUCUGUAACUGACGCUGAGGAGCGAAAGCGUGGGGAGCGAACAGGAUUAGAUACCCCCGUAGUCCCUGUCUCUUAUAC